AUCUCCGCCUCUUCUCAGUUCCCUCAGUGCUCCUCCUUUCUCCCUAACCCUAACUUUCUCACUAACUCAAAUCUGAUUCUUCAAUCCCUUGGAUCAUCACAAUCAACAUCACAUUAUCGUGAUUCACCAGAAGUUCUUAUGAUUUGUUUCUUCAAAACUUCAUCGCGAUUGGAAACAAAAGAAUUAUCACCUAAUCUUCAGUUUACAAAAUCAACAACAUAUCAACAAAAUCUUAAGUAUAAUGCUCUACAGUUACCGAAAUAACAAUACCCUAGAGAAAUUAAACCAUUAUUUCUUGUUUUUGUUUCCUCGAUUUUGCUUUGCUCUUGAAGAUUAAGAACAAGAAAGAUUGGGGGAGAAAAGCUAUUAGUAAUAAUCCCAAAUAAUAAGAAGCGGUGGUGGUUAUCCUGCUAGUGGUGCAAAGAACUACCAGAUUUAAAUUAAUGGGUUGUAAUCAUUUUUUUCAUACAUCUUUUAUUUUUUUCAGAUCUGAGAAGUUCAUACUGUAUAUCUCUCUGAUUCUAGCAUUUGAAUCUGAGAGGACAGUUUUUUGCUAUUUUACUCAUUGAGUUAUAUAAUUUUGGUACUCGGUAUUAAGUAUUAACUUGUGUUUUUACAGGGGUUCUGCCGUCGGGAAUGGAUGGGAAUGGAUGGUAGUGAAUCUGAAGAAGAGGAGGUUAUUGAUAAUGUAUUCGUUGAGCAGGAGAAGAAGAGGGAUGUCUGCUGCAAAAUAGGUUUAUUAAUAUUUCGUAGUAGUGACGUUUUAGUUUACAGAAAAAAGAUGGUGAUGUUUACAGCUGAAGAGCUCUGCAGGAUCAUGGACCUGUAGUAUAACGUCAGGAACAUGUCCGUGGAACAUGGAAACCAACACUUACUAGUUCUUGUGUGGCUGCUGCUGGUAUUAUUAAGCUGAAUGUACAGUCAUGUUGAUCCCACUAAGGAUGGUAGUCUGGAAAGAAGCAUCUGGGGUUGGAAGUUGAUGCAUAAAAGACUACUCACUCGGAUUGGGUACUGUUGUGAUGGAGAUGGAAGCAAUUACAGUGUUUGAUAGAAGGUACAAGAAUACGUCUAUUUGUUUGGUACAUUGCAGUCAGUAUGUGUUAUGCAUCAGUGGCAUGCACAGGAAAAUCCUUGCUGUUGGAUAGUAUUGCUUCAAACUUGAUAUGAUUGUCAUUCUUAACUUUGUUGCUGGAGUUACGGACCUAAACUCCUAAGUUGCCAUUGUUGCCCAUGAGCUAAGCUCGCAGAGAUACAGGGACUAUCAUAGAGCUUAUCAUUCUGAGUGUGUUGGAAAGAAUAAUCAAUUUUGCGAAAUGGGGCCUUUACAUUCAGAAGAUAGUCUCGACGAGCACAACCACUUAGCACCAAAACCUUUCAUCUCCGCACAAGAGAAAGGGAGAACUGUUCAGGAUUCUCAAGGCUACUCCAUACCCAUAUACCACAUGGUGCAACGUUCGUGUGAAGUGCCCACCGAAGUCUAUGUUUUUGCUUUAAAAAUAGCUAAGUUGUAAUUUGGAGUUUAUGAAGAGAGAUCAACAACAAUUUUAGUUCUUUUCUUUAGUUCUGUCAUAUUAACAUGUUCAUUUUUAUUGUUGUACAGGUCUCUCGCCUAUUUGAUGCCAAAGUACUUCAUUUGUAUAUUUUUCUUCUCGUGUAAUUUCUUGUCUUAUUGUGAUGCGUAGUUAACCUUGUUUUUAUUUGAUUGCUCAUGAGUUGGUUUUGAAUUAUUGUUGGUUCAAUUUGAUAAUGAAUAGAACGGUUCUUUUGUA